UACGAAGGGGGCUAGCGUUGUUCGGAAUCACUGGGCGUAAAGGGUGCGUAGGCGGGUCUUUAAGUCAGGGGUGAAAUCCUGGAGCUCAACUCCAGAACUGCCUUUGAUACUGAAGAUCUUGAGUUCGGGAGAGGUGAGUGGAACUGCGAGUGUAGAGGUGAAAUUCGUAGAUAUUCGCAAGAACGCCAGUGGCGAAGGCGGCUCACUGGCCCGAUACUGACGCUGAGGCACGAAAGCGUGGGGAGCAAACAGG
rnacentral:rRNA from 1 species